GAUGAACGCUAGCUACAGGCUUAACACAUGCAAGUCGAGGGGCAUCAGGAAGAAAGCUUGCUUUCUUUGCUGGCGACCGGCGCACGGGUGAGUAACACGUAUCCAACCUGCCCUUUACUCGGGGAUAGCCUUUCGAAAGAAAGAUUAAUACCCGAUGGCAUAAUGAUUCCGCAUGGUUUCAUUAUUAAAGGAUUCCGGUAAAGGAUGGGGAUGCGUUCCAUUAGGUUGUUGGUGAGGUAACGGCUCACCAAGCCUUCGAUGGAUAGGGGUUCUGAGAGGAAGGUCCCCCACAUUGGAACUGAGACACGGUCCAAACUCCUACGGGAGGCAGCAGUGAGGAAUAUUGGUCAAUGGGCGCUAGCCUGAACCAGCCAAGUAGCGUGAAGGAUGAAGGCUCUAUGGGUCGUAAACUUCUUUUAUAUAAGAAUAAAGUGCAGUAUGUAUACUGUUUUGUAUGUAUUAUAUGAAUAAGGAUCGGCUAACUCCGUGCCAGCAGCCGCGGUAAUACGGAGGAUCCGAGCGUUAUCCGGAUUUAUUGGGUUUAAAGGGAGCGUAGGUGGACUGGUAAGUCAGUUGUGAAAGUUUGCGGCUCAACCGUAAAAUUGCAGUUGAUACUGUCAGUCUUGAGUACAGUAGAGGUGGGCGGAAUUCGUGGUGUAGCGGUGAAAUGCUUAGAUAUCACGAAGAACUCCGAUUGCGAAGGCAGCUCACUGGACUGCAACUGACACUGAUGCUCGAAAGUGUGGGUAUCAAACAGGAUUAGAUACCCUGGUAGUCCACACAGUAAACGAUGAAUACUCGCUGUUUGCGAUAUACAGUAAGCGGCCAAGCGAAAGCAUUAAGUAUUCCACCUGGGGAGUACGCCGGCAACGGUGAAACUCAAAGGAAUUGACGGGGGCCCGCACAAGCGGAGGAACGUGUGGUUUAAUUCGAUGAUACGCGAGGAACCUUACCCGGGCUUAAAUUGCAGUGGAAUGAUGUGGAAACAUGUCAGUGAGCAAUCACCGCUGUGAAGGUGCUGCAUGGUUGUCGUCAGCUCGUGCCGUGAGGUGUCGGCUUAAGUGCCAUAACGAGCGCAACCCUUAUCUUCAGUUACUAACAGGUCAUGCUGAGGACUCUGGAGAGACUGCCGUCGUAAGAUGUGAGGAAGGUGGGGAUGACGUCAAAUCAGCACGGCCCUUACGUCCGGGGCUACACACGUGUUACAAUGGGGGGUACAGAAGGCAGCUAGCGGGUGACCGUAUGCUAAUCCCAAAAUCCUCUCUCAGUUCGGAUCGAAGUCUGCAACCCGACUUCGUGAAGCUGGAUUCGCUAGUAAUCGCGCAUCAGCCACGGCGCGGUGAAUACGUUCCCGGGCCU
rnacentral:rRNA from 1 species